GGAAAAAUGUGCAGUUUGCACAGAUCCACAGGACAUGAAAUAAAUCAAAAUUACUUUUCUAGGACACCCAGUGAGAUGCUUCAAAAAUUCCCAAACGAGUACAAGGUUGUAUCUUUACUGAGUACAAAGUGAUGUAGCUUCCCAGACUACGAUUUAUUUUAUUUAAUUUAUGUCCCCAGUGUGUGAAUAUCAACCCACACAACUGGAGGUUGUGUGCUGCCUUGCAACUCUGCUUUGUGGGCAGUUCUGCCAUAACUCUGAAUUAAUCCUAGUGGGGAUAGUAAGAACAAUUCCAUGAAUGGUUUUCUGGAAAUUUGACUAAACCUCUAGUUCUGUUUGUGGGAUUGGACCCUGGGGCACACACCAAACCUAGAGACAAGACAUUCCUGUGCCAGUAUCUGCAUUCUCCCUGUGAGGAAGUGGUCAAAGCUGGCAUGAUGUUGUAAGUGUCACUCAUAGAAAUGCACCGUCAGUAUCUGAGAGGACACAAAUGAUUCACAAGGCACUUGAGCGGGAUGUCUGUGUGUUUCCAAUGAAUUGAUCACGGCAGUCAUUGCAUACCUGCUGAACAACUUCAGUUCUGUUACUCCUGUUUAAAGUAAGUCAUGGUGAUCUAAUUGUAGUUUAUCUUACCUCCCAUUUCACAUGGAUCUUCCAUGCUAGGCACCAAGGAGGUCUAGUGAGCAAGUCCCUUUGGUAUGUGUGUUGAGACGAUACAAUCUGGGGUUCACAGUUCCCUGAAUGAUACAAAUAAAAACAUUCCAGCACAUACAGAAGCUGCGAAGAUGACAAAACUGUACAUAUCAAAGACAACGAAAGCAUUCAGCAAUGAGAAUGGCAGGCUUGGGGUUUGGAUUAAAGUUUAUUUGGAUGAUCAACUUGUUAGCCUUGUGGAAGUUGUAGCAGUCCUGAGUUCAGGUUAAAAAUUCAAGAAGUUAUGAACUUUUUUCAGUCCCUGUAUUAAUUGCAAACAAAAGUCAUGUUCCCUUGUUCCCUUGCUUCCUGACCUUGACAAUGACAAUGCUUCCAGCAGCUGUAAAUGAAACUGAAAGCAGAUCUUUGAGGCUAAUUAAACCACAGCAGAGGUUUCAACACAUUGUUUGUCCUGUAGAACUUUUUAAGGACUCUGGCACACAAGGAGACAGUUCCUGAAAGUAUUCACUGAAUCCAGACCCCAAGCUUUCCCACUACACCUACGGAGUGCUCAGUGGAAUGAUAAAUAACCUAGAGGAAAUAGAAUAAAUACAGAAGCAGAAAUCACAGAUGAAAGAGAUAACAAAGGAUUGUCAUUUUUCUCCAUGUUUAGGAGGGUGGUGAGGCCCUGGCACCUGUUGCCCAGAGAACCUGUGGCUGCCCUGUGCUUGGAAGUGUCCAAGGCCAGGUUGGACAGGGCUUUGAGCAACCUGGGAUAAUGAAGGGUGUCCUUGCCCAUGGCAGGAAGCUGGAACUGGGUGAUCUUUAACAUCCAUUUCAAUCCAAACCAGUUUGUGGUUCUAUGAUUCCAUGAUUUCCUGCAGCUUUAUGCUACCAAUAACCCAAGUGUCCAAAGUUAACCAACUUCACAGACUCACCAGGGAAGGAAAUGUGUUUUUUAGUUAUUACUGCCCUAUUUACAGUCUACACUGACUUUUCAGUGAUGUGCAAUCCAUUCCCUAAGAGCCCUGUGUACAGGAAACAGCUAUAGGUCAUACACCCUUCUGGAAACUGGGACACAAAAAAAAGCUAAUUAAAAAAUAUGGAUUCUUUACUCCUUCAUUAUGUCUUGGUGAUUAUCAUAGUAUUUACAAGAAUGUUUUAGUUUGGGUUUCUAAAAUACAAAGUGCUGGAGAAGUGGCACACCUUCCCAUGGUAUUCAAACCAUCCCAAGAUUAGGAGCAGACUUCAGUUAACAGCUUUUGCCCACAACAAAAUCAAAUCUUAUAAGCCCCAUGGGUCUAAAACUGAGUUUCUCUGAAGAAGUGCUUUGCUCGCUGUUGCACUUGCAGAAUCUCAGAGUCAUUUUAGGUUGGGAAACACCUCUGGGACCCUUGAGUCCAACCUGUGAUCAAGCUCCAGCUUGUCAACCAGACCAGAGCACCGAGUGCCCUGUCCAGUUGUCUCUUGAACACCUCCAGGGAUGGUAACUCCACCCCUUCCCUGAGCAAUCCCAGUGCUUGACAACCCUUUCUGAAAAUAAAUUCUUCAUUUCCAACCUCAACCUCCCCUGGCACAACUUGAGGCUUGUUUCUUCUUGUCCUAUUGCCUGUGACCUGGGAGCAGAGCCCGACCUCUACCUGGCUGCUCCCUCAGCCGCUCCUCAUGAUUUCCUCUCUGGAUCCGUCCCCAGCUCCACUGCCCUUCUUUGGAAGGGCUCCAGCACAAAAGGCUCAAGCGAGGGUGGCAGGGAGAGGGGGUAACCGGGCUGCUGUGAAAUGGAGGAAAAGGACUUGCUCUGCAGUGCCGAAUGAGGAGGCGCCACUCUUUGAGCAGAACAGAGGUCACCUCCAUAAAAGAAAUGGAACAAACAGUCUCCGACAGGCCGCCCUGCCUGUGCCAACACAAGCGGCGCUGCUCACUGCGCUCCAUCUGACCCUGGGAGUAGGACACACACAGAUAAAAUACUACGGCUGCCUUCAUUGGCAAGAAGCUGGAGCCUUUCCAAGUCUAGCAACCUGAAUGGACGCUUGCAAUGAGGUGCGAAUGCACCCAGCAUCAAAGGCAGAUUUGUGAUACAAGGUGGCGGAGAGUAACCACAGCCCGAGCUCCGCGGCACAAGCGUUCACUCGAGGCCAUUCCCCACCUCACACCAGCCUGGGAAGGGGCAGAGAGAGGGAAGCAAACAGCUCCAAGGGUAAAACCCACCUCUGCAGCCACCCUUCUACAGCAUUGUAGGGCUGAGAUUACCUAUAUUCACUUGCAGUUCUCUUUUCUGCCUCUUGUGAUGACAACAAAUAAUACAAGAAAUAAAUGCUCAAUAACAUAUAUGGUAUAUGUAAUUGUAACAAAUAACAAAGGUUUAAUCUCUGCUUGCACCCCAAUAAAAACUAGUAAAAAUCAAA